CUGGACUGCUGGUGUAUCUGUGAAGUGUUUACGAGUGGCUGGAGCUGCUGCUGCUAACCUGUGAACUGAACUGCUGACUUCCAGACAACAAAGAUGAACGUUGCUCCAAAGAAGCAUUUCUGAACUCGCCUACCUCCUUUUCCACUACCUCUGGACACACGGUUCAGAGCAGUCUGCAGGCUCCUGUUGUUCCUUGUGCCUCUCCACUUUCCUCCUGACCAGGCGGGCCUGUGUGCCCUCCAAGGCCUUGCGUGCUUUAACAGUCCAGCAUUUCUUUACACAGGUAAAUGAAUUAAGGUUCUUGAUUAUUUACUCUGGGCAGUUCUUACUAAAAGGUAAAUCUACUGAGUGGGCUGGUAGAUGGACAUUUUGAAGGGAAUAGUACUGGUCAAGAAGUCUGGCUGUAGUGAGCAAAGGAGCCAGCAUUAAAGGGUGCAGGUCAGCAGACCGCAGGCUGGUUCACAAACAUCUUGUCAGUGAAAUCACGUGCAGUGAACACAGGCAAGCAGGUUCCCAGGGUACGGAUACAAAGUCCCGAAUCUUGCUCAAUAUUAGGGACACAGAGGGAAGCUCUCUUCUUUCCUGGAUUCUCUGGGUUAGAUGUACAAUCUUCUGAAUUGUUUGAGGCUAUAAAAGAUGCAGUUUAUGAGGCCAUGGAGGACUUGGGAUUCUUGGCCUGGGUGCAGGGUGGUGCCUGCUUGGUGGAAGCUGCACAGGCUAGGGAGCAAGGCAGGUGGUUUGUCUGUCUGUCUGUCUGUCUGUCUGUCUUUAUGGGCUGAGGAGGGAGUGUGCUUUAGUGUCAAAGAGAAGCUUGUUCUAAUGCAUGGGUUUUCUUUCUCUUCUCAUGUUAUGUCCUCUACAAAGCCUUCCCUUCCCCACUGAGUGUUUUAUGGGUGGGGAUUUAAUUCCCCAGAGACCUCCAGGCCAGGGCCUAAUUCUUACCCUCCAGGGUAGAACUCAGAGCCUUGUUUGCUCAUAUCUGAGACACAAGUUGUAGAGAGAGAGAGAGAGAGAGAGAGAGAGAGGCCUGGCAUGGGUCUUUGAAAUCCAAAAGCCUACUCCUAGAGACACAUCUCCUCCAACAAGGCCACACCUACUCCAGAAAGGCCACACCUCCUAGACUUUUUCGAGUAGUUCCACUAACUUGGGAUAAUGCAUUCAAUUGUACGAGCCUGUGAGGACCAUUCUCCUUCAAAGUACCAUGAUAUGUAAAGACAUAUAUGUUCCUAAAUAUAACCUAUUUACUCUGUAAAAUGCUACCUGUAUGUUUGGUUUUAUGGCUGACUGACACUGGACAACCAAUUGUUGUGCUUGUCUCUGGGGAAGACCGCUCCUCCCUUCCCCAGCUUUCCUCAGCUGCCUUUAGCUCCUAGAGCACAAUCCCAAUGGCUAUGUCUACAAGACACCUCGCACCAAAGGCCCAGGGACCAUUAUGGAAGAGGGAAGAAAAGAUCGAAAGAGCCAGAAGAUCAGGGACUCUGCUGUGAGAUUGUGUCUCCUAGUCCCAUCAGAAACUACACCCAUGAAGUCUCACCAUCAUGACUGUCAAAGGAGCAGGAGGAGCAGCAAGAGGGCAAAGAGGAACAUCAAG